GUCUUAUUUGCGUUCAUCUGUGGAUUAAUCUGUGUGCUGUCGUCGUCUCUGGAGAAAACCAGCUUUGAAAAUUGCAAUCGCACGAUUCCAGUGAGAGAGAGAUUUGUCGUUCAGAGGGCUUCUUUGGUGAUUACAGCGUGUUUAUUAACGUUCAUUAUUUAUUCCAUACACCUUUUGUCAAAGAAGUUUGGGUUAUAUGAUACCAACAGCGAAAAGAUGACUGAUCGGAUAUUGUUCUGGAUUUUGUUCGUGCGCUGUAUUAUGGAGGCUAGUGACGUAUUUUACGUGAUUCAUAAAAAGAACACUGCUUCUGAUAUAACACCCAUAGUUCAUGCAUGCUUUAUUAUAGUAGAGAUGAUUGGUAACUCUUUAUUCUGCACAAUCAUAUCGUGCUACAUUCCAUAUGAAAUGUAUGCAGCUUGUUCAACCAGUGCCCAAGAUGACAAUUGCGCAAUUCCGAGUGCGAAUGGAGCAGCAAGUGGUCAAGAGGAAAAUGGCUCAAUCUCCAGUGUAAAUGAAGAUUUUUCAGAAAGUGGUCAAGAGGUAAUUGGCUCAAUCUCCAGUGUAAAUGAAGAUUUUUCAGAAAGUGGUCAAGAGGUAAUUGGCUCAAUCUCCAGUGUAAAUGAAGAUUUUUCAGAUAGUGGUCAAGAGGUAAAUGGCUCAAUCUCCAGUGUAAAUGAAUAUUUUUCAGGAAGUGGACAUGAGCGUUUCGAAAUGAUAGAAAUGAGGCGUGUUCCACCGAGUUUCCGCCAUUUAGCAUACCUUUGACCCCCUGAAAACUCAGAUGCAAUUCCAACUUGUUUCAUUUUGCGAAGCCGUCAUAAACUAAAUGUGAGGAAGCAUGCGCUCCUAAUUAUUCGCAAACUAGAGUCUAAGUGGUUUGGAUCAAGAUUAUAGACAUUUCAGGCAGCCUUAUGUCUGUUUCAACCUAUCAAUACCGAAACUAUUUUGCUCUUUUAGAUUUUAUUGCAAACUAUGAUGACUCUUAACAUAUCUAUGUUAAUUUCAUGCGAUUGAUUAGAUUUAGUUUAUGUAAAAAGUGAUUCAUCUUAAAGACCGUCUUUGUCGAAGUUUCUGAGCACACCAAUCGAUUCUCGGGGGUAGAAUUAUGCAAAGUGGAUAUUUUUCCGACCAAAGAGUCCAGCGCGACGUGCAUAGCACAAGUACAACUUUUCCCGCCAAAACAAUAUGAAUGCGAGAAGUGCGCAUGCGUCAGAGGUGGCUGGAUCUCACAAAGAAGUCAUUCGUACAGGCGGUCUCUCUGCAAGUGCUCAAACCAGCUCUGACGCAUGCGCACUUCUCGCAUUCAUAUUGUUGUGGCGGGAACAAAGUUCUUCGUCGCGCUAAACUCUUUGGUCGGAAAAAAUAUCCACUUUGCAUAAUUUGACCCUCGAGAAUCGAUUGGUGUGCUCAGAAACUGCGUCAAAGACGGUGUUUAAAUAAAACAUAAAUAUAUUAGCAUGACACUUUGCUAUUAUUUCAGAUCCUUUACUUGAGUUUUAAAAAAUAUUUUUUUGCCUUGUACCGAUCGCGAUUGCAGGAGCGCCCUAGUAAAAAAUAUUUUUAAUGCACACACGAUAUUAAAAAAAGAGGAGCAGCAAGCAUUUUCACCAGAAAUUACCUCAAUUCUUCACUCAAGAGGAAUGCAUAUUAAUUAUCAAUUUAUGAAACUGUUCUUAAUGUUGAUUUGUGUGGUUUGGUUUGAGCUCUGGAACACAAAUUUCCAGGUCAAACCAUUUG